GACGAACGCUGGCGGCGUGCUUAACACAUGCAAGUCGAACGGAAAGGCCCUGCUUUUGUGGGGUGCUCGAGUGGCGAACGGGUGAGUAACACGUGAGUAACCUGCCCUUGACUUUGGGAUAACUUCAGGAAACUGGGGCUAAUACCGGAUAGGAGCUCCUGCUGCAUGGUGGGGGUUGGAAAGUUUCGGCGGUUGGGGAUGGACUCGCGGCUUAUCAGCUUGUUGGUGGGGUAGGGGCUUACCAAGGCUUUGACGGGUAGCCGGCCUGAGAGGGUGACCGGCCACAUUGGGACUGAGAGACGGCCCAGACUCCUACGGGAGGCAGCAGUGGGGAAUAUUGCACAAUGGGCGGAAGCCUGAUGCAGCAACGCCGCGUGCGGGAUGACGGCCUACGGGUUGUAAACCGCUUUCGCCUGUGACGAAGAGUGAGUGACGGUAAUGGGUAAAGAAGCACCGGCUAACUACGUG
rnacentral:rRNA from 1 species